rnacentral:rRNA from 1 species
UCGAACGGUAACGGGCCCGCAAGGGUGCCGACGAGUGGCGGACGGGUGAGGAACACAUCGGAAUUUGCCCAGUCGUGGGGGAUAACGUAGGGAAACUUACGCUAAUACCGCAUACGACCGGAAGGUGAAAGCGGGGGAUCGCAAGACCUCGCGCGAUUGGAUGAGCCGAUGUCGGAUUAGCUAGUUGGUAGGGUAAAGGCCUACCAAGGCGACGAUCCGUAGCUGGUCUGAGAGGAUGAUCAGCCACACUGGGACUGAGACACGGCCCAGACUCCUACGGGAGGCAGCAGUGGGGAAUAUUGGACAAUGGGGGCAACCCUGAUCCAGCAAUGCCGCGUGUGUGAAGAAGGCCUUCGGGUUGUAAAGCACUUUUGUCCGGAACGAAACGUGUCGGGUGAAUAUCCCGGCAAACUGACGGUACCGGAAGAAUCAGCACCGGCUAACUUCGUGCCAGCAGCCGCGGUAAUACGAAGGGUGCAAGCGUUACUCGGAAUUACUGGGCGUAAAGCGUGCGUAGGUGGUUUUUUAAGUCCGUUGUGAAAGCCCUGGGCUCAACCUGGGAAUGGCAGUGGAUACUGGAAAGCUAGAGUGCGGUAGAGGGUAGUGGAAUUCCCGGUGUAGCAGUGAAAUGCGUAGAGAUCGGGAGGAACACCAGUGGCGAAGGCGGCUACCUGGACCAGCACUGACACUGAGGCACGAAAGCGUGGGGAGCAAACAGGAUUAGAUACCUUGGUAGUCCACGCCCUAAACGAUGCGAACUGGACGUUGGGAGCAACUUGGCUCUCAGUGUCGAAGCUAACGCGUUAAGUUCGCCGCCUGGGGAGUACGGUCGC